UCACCGGCGGACGGGUGCGUAACACGUGGGAAUAUACCUUUUGGUUCGGAACAACGCAGGGAAACUUGCGCUAAUACCGAAUGUGCCCUUACGGGGAAAGAUUUAUCGCCAAAGGAUUAGCCCGCGUCCGAUUAGCUAGUUGGUGAGGUAAUGGCUCACCAAGGCUCCGAUCGGUAGCUGUUCUGAGAGGAAGAUCAGCCACACUGGGACUGAGACACGGCCCAGACUCCUACGGGAGGCAGCAGUUGGGAAUCUUGGACAAUGGGGGAAACCCUGAUCCAGCCAUGCCGCGUGAGUGAUGAAGGCCUUCGGGUUGUAAAACUCUUUCGACGGGGAACAUAAUGACGGUACCCGUAGAAAAAGCUCCGGCUAACUUCGUGCCAGCAGCCGCGGUAAUACGAAGGGGGCUAGCGUUGUUCGGAAUUACUGGGCGUAAAGCGCGCGCAGGCGGUCUUCCAAGUCAGUGGUGAAAGCCCGGAGCUCAACUCCGGAACUGCCAUUGAAACUGUAAGACUUGAGGACGAAAGAGGU
rnacentral:rRNA from 1 species